CAGACAUGCCCAUGGAUAGAAUAACAAUAGACAACAAUGUAUAUUUCACGCACACAUAGGCCUAUAUUGUAAUAAUAUAAUUACUGUACAUUAAUAUCACUAUAGUUUUUGGUCAUUUUGUAAAGCAGAAAAAAUGGGAUAAUUCAGAUGGUUCUUUUCUUUGGUUAUCAUAUUUUUCACGUUAUUAAAAUUCUAUAUUAGUAUACAAUAAUUGAUAUUUUAAAAUAAUUGAAAUGGCUUUGAAGUAAUGAAAGUAUUAGCACAUUCCGGAGCAUAUAUAAUUGGUCCUUUUUAGGGAUGUUGGUAGAGCCCACUUCGAUAUUUAGCCUGUGAAAAGAAAUUCUAUAUUUAGUCACAUAUCUUCUGUGAUCUAUAAAUGUUUGACUACAAAUCUAGAUAAAUACUCCUUAUAUAAACCCCAGUUUUGUAUGUGCUCAAUUGGCCAAAGUUUCAAUAUGAGCUUAUAGUUUACAUUGUAUAAAAUGGGCAGAAAUUACUUUCAUUUUAAAUGAAUAUUAGACCCGCAUCGGUAGGACCACAUUGGAAAUGUACUCCCACUCCCUUGAGACUCGCGUUAGUUCUAGUCUACAGAACUUCCGUUUUAAUUUCCACUCUUCGAGAAAUAUAAAGUUUAGUUUUUAUUGUCAACAUCAAGAAAUAUGGAGUUUAGUAUUUAUUGUCAUUAACACCAAGAACUGAGUGAAAGUUGUUCAAUAUUCAAGUUAUUGCUACUGAUAGUAAAGGUCGUAUGAGAUGAGAGAUGUUUUUCAUAUUCAAAUUUCCUAAAAUUGCAAUCGAUCGGGUUUCGUAAUAAUAGAUGAUAGACAAUGUGGCUCCAAUACAAGUCUGAAGAAUAUACAGGGCAGGUUGUUUUUUUUUUUUUUGGUGUGUGUGUUUUUUUUAAAAGAAGUAAAUCCAACUAAAACUGACAACAAAGGUCCAAUUUUCUGAUGAGACCAGUCUCUGAGUAGACUUUAAAAUAGUGGGUGAAUGUUAAGAGCCCCAAAACGGCAAAGAAAAAAUAAAUAACAUAAAGGGCGACCAGUUUUAUUUUAAAACAACAUUCAACCAAAGAAGGGGCUGAAACCCAGUCUCCUGUAGAUCGACCAUGCACUGCAUAAGAGACACGGUAUAAGCACUACGUUGAUUGAUUGGGCCUGGAUUUCAACAUUAAAAUUCACAAUCACUGGAAAGAAUUCCCAAAUGUGGACCAAAAGGGAAAAAAAAUUGACAGUGCUGUUUAUCCGUCACUCGUUAGUCACACAGCCACUACGUACAAUUUGCGCAUAUUCCACGCAUGAAAUUUUUGUCACUCGUGAUACAUGCGCGAUAUAGGUAAUUCAUAAGCGUUUCAUGCGUUUUUCAUUCGUCGAUAAAAAAUUUGGCUUUCCACGACCGGUCCACGUAUGUUUAACGGACCUUUCACGCAUGUAUCACUUUUAUAUCGCGUAUACGGCGCACAUAUCGCGUUGAAAUUACGUAAUUGACGCACUAAUCACUACUGAAUUGAAGAUAAACAGCGCUAUAAUCGCGCUCGGUUCUCGUAUGGUGUGCCGGUUUUUGGCUUUUACGUAUACGUGUUCUUUGCGUGGUUUAUUCGUACUUCUUCCAUGGUUUUAACCAUUCUCUCACCAGAGGGCGCGCUACGCAAGCUUCACUUUCAGCGUAACGCCCUCUGGUGAGAGGUUGGGUUUUAACGUGGUUCAUACGCGAUACAGCUGUCAAAAUUUCACAUACAGACCCCAACUUUUCCACGUCUGACCAUCAUCAGUGGAAUAUGCGCAAAUUGUACGUAGUGGCUGUGUGAUAUAACCUUUAUAUUAAUACUAGUGUGAAUUGCACUGCACAGUACGAAACUCUGUCGACAUGAAACAUCGUCUUGGCAGCACGGACGGGGGAUCUGGACUCGGGAGUCCUGUUAUGGACACCACAACGGACUGUUUGUGAUGAAAAUAACCAUAAUUCACGAUUUGGAAGUCUACACAUAUCCGCGAAAUCAUCCGGGGCGCAUCAUCGUAAUACGUAGACAAGAUUGGUUCAUAUCCUCUCUACGUCACAGAGGAAAUGUUUAGUGAUGGCCUCUCUCAGAUGACACAAAAACAACCCUCUGGUAACUUCAUUUUAAUGUUUAUUUCAGAAUAAAAUUAGGAGUGAAUAUCUGAAGCAAUAUGAAAAGCCUAAAUGGAGAACAGGUCUCUACAUCAUUCAAUACAAACUGUAUGCUGGUAAUUCAACUCAGUAUUAUAUAUAUAUAUACAUGAAAUAAGCAAAGGCUGACAGCAUUCUCCAACUUCCGAGUCCUAAAAAUGAAACCCGAGUCCUGACUGUGACACCCUACCCUUGAAUUCACUAACGGGAAGACUCCAUCACAGAUGAUCACCACCACUGCGGUGACCCCUCUGGUCCACAAUGAAAGCUUCGAUUAGUUUGACCUUGCACACCGAGUGGACAGCAGCCAUAAAAAGCACACAUAUUGUGACACAGGCAACAACAUAAGCUGGUAAUCUUCAGGUGUUAUUUCCAUCCUGUGCGACACGUUUUACAUCUGUUUAAAAAAUAACUCCAUGAUAUUAAAAAUGUUGCAUGCUUCACGUGGCAUAAAAGUCUCUUUGAAAUUGUUGUCCUGCGUGUUGCAUAAAACAUAACAGGUUGCCACUGUCGUUUUUAUCACCAUUAUAUCAUAAACUCCAGUUUUUACCGAAAAACGGCAGUGAAGAGGAAGCAAUUGGUACCAAGUAAACA